GACGGAAGGUGCAAGCGUUGCUCGGAAUCACUGGGCGUAAAGGGUGCGUAGGCGGCCGCGCAAGUCUGGCGUGAAAGCCCCGGGCUCAACCUGGGAACUGCAAUGGAAACUGGCGGGCUUGAGUGUGGCAGAGGGGGGUGGAAUUCCGCGUGUAGCAGUGAAAUGCGUAGAGAUGCGGAGGAACACCGAUGGCGAAGGCAGCCCCCUGGGCCAACACUGACGCUCAGGCACGAAAGCGUGGGGAGCAAACAGG
rnacentral:rRNA from 1 species